rnacentral:rRNA from 1 species
AGAGUUUGAUCAUGGCUCAGGACGAACGCUGGCGGCGUGCCUAAUACAUGCAAGUCGAGCGGACAGAUGGGAGCUUGCUCCCUGAAGUCAGCGGCGGACGGGUGAGUAACACGUGGGCAACCUGCCUGUAAGACUGGGAUAACUCCGGGAAACCGGGGCUAAUACCGGAUAAUUCUUUUCCUCACAUGAGGGAAAGCUGAAAGAUGGCAUCUCGCUAUCACUUACAGAUGGGCCCGCGGCGCAUUAGCUAGUUGGUGAGGUAACGGCUCACCAAGGCCACGAUGCGUAGCCGACCUGAGAGGGUGAUCGGCCACACUGGGACUGAGACACGGCCCAGACUCCUACGGGAGGCAGCAGUAGGGAAUCUUCCGCAAUGGACGAAAGUCUGACGGAGCAACGCCGCGUGAGUGAUGAAGGUUUUCGGAUCGUAAAACUCUGUUGUCAGGGAAGAACAAGUACCGGAGUAACUGCCGGUACCUUGACGGUACCUGACCAGAAAGCCACGGCUAACUACGUGCCAGCAGCCGCGGUAAUACGUAGGUGGCAAGCGUUGUCCGGAAUUAUUGGGCGUAAAGCGCGCGCAGGCGGUUCCUUAAGUCUGAUGUGAAAGCCCCCGGCUCAACCGGGGAGGGUCAUU